AAGACAGGCGGCUGCCUAAACAUGCGAGUCCGUACGGCAGCAGGUCCUUCGGGAUGCUGGCGAGUGGCGGACGGGUGAGUAAUGCGUAGGAACCUAUCCUUUUGUGGGGGACAACCCAGGGAAACUUGGGCUAAUACCGCAUAAGCCCUGAGGGGGAAAGCGGGGGAUCUUCGGACCUCGUGCUGAAGGAGGGGCCUACGUCCGAUUAGCUAGUUGGUGGGGUAAAGGCCUACCAAGGCGACGAUCGGUAGCUGGUCUGAGAGGACGACCAGCCACACUGGGACUGAGACACGGCCCAGACUCCUACGGGAGGCAGCAGUGGGGAAUUUUUCGCAAUGGGGGCAACCCUGACGAAGCAAUGCCGCGUGGAUGAAGAAGGCCUUCGGGUUGUAAAGUCCUUUCGUGGGGGACGAAAAUGCGGAUCCGAAUUCCGUCUGCUAUUGACGUGUACUCAAUAAGAAGCACCGGCUUACUCUGCGCCAGCUCUCACGGUCAU
rnacentral:rRNA from 1 species